UAACAAACAGCAUUAAAAAAAACAAGAGCUAGCUCCUUGAAUUUUAUAUCCAAUGACACAAGAUAACAGGGAUAAUUCCCCCCACUUACAUCUACUGAUUUUAGAGAUUUAAAAAAAAGUUUUGAUAAAAACAUACUGUUUAGGGAGGGACAACUUCCUUUCCCCUCUUCUGAUUGGUGCAUUCUCAUUCUGUUGCAUACUGGGAAAUGUAGUUUAGGGCAGAGCCUUUUGAAUUCUUUGGCGUAGGACUGCUCCCCUUCCCAAACCACAUUUCCCAAGUUCUGUGUUGUUCCCAAAAUGCAAGGCCUCCUGUCUUCACACCAAAAAGCAAGCCACCAUGAAGUCUUCAAGCAGAGAAGCCAUUAAUUUACAGAGAGAGGAAAGACAAAGGAGGCAGGUACAAAUCACCAGCCAUCAAGGAGAGAAGCAGAGAACUGAC
rnacentral:lncRNA from 11 species